rnacentral:rRNA from 1 species
GACGAACGCUGGCGGCGUGCUUAACACAUGCAAGUCGAACGGAAAGGCCCUGCUUUUGUGGGGUGCUCGAGUGGCGAACGGGUGAGUAACACGUGAGUAACCUGCCCUUGACUUUGGGAUAACUUCAGGAAACUGGGGCUAAUACCGGAUAGGAGCUCCUGCUGCAUGGUGGGGGUUGGAAAGUUUCGGCGGUUGGGGAUGGACUCGCGGCUUAUCAGCUUGUUGGUGGGGUAGUGGCUUACCAAGGCUUUGACGGGUAGCCGGCCUGAGAGGGUGACCGGCCACAUUGGGACUGAGCUACGGCCCAGACUCCUCCGGGAGGCAGCAGUGGGGAAUAUUGCACUAUGGGCGGAAGCCUGAUGCAGCAACGCCGCGUCCGGGAUGACGGCCUUCGGGUUGUAAACCGCUUUCGCCUGUGACGAAGCGUGAGUGACGGUAAUGGGUAAAGAAGCACCGGCUAACUACGUG